UGAGGAAUUUUGCGCAAUGGCCGCAAGGCUGACGCAGCAACGCCGCGUGGGUGAUGAAGGCCUUCGGGUCGUAAAGCCCUGUCAGGUGGGAAGAAAGGCCUGGAGAGGAAAGGUUUCAGGUUUGACGGUACCACCAGAGGAAGCACCGGCUAACUCCGUGCCAGCAGCCGCGGUAAUACGGAGGGUGCGAGCGUUAUUCGGAAUUACUGGGCGUAAAGCGCGUGUAGGCGGGGGGACAAGUCUGAUGUGAAAGCCCUGGGCUUAACCUGGGAGGCGCAUUGGGAACUGUUUUUCUUGAGUACUGGAGAGGGAGGGGGAAUUCCCGGUGUAGAGGUGAAAAUCGUAGAGAUCGGGAGGAAUACCAGUGGCGUAGGCGCCCUUCUGGACGGUAACUGACGCUGAGACGCGAAAGCGUGGGGAGCAAACAG
rnacentral:rRNA from 1 species